rnacentral:tRNA from 1 species
UCCGGGAUCGUCUAGUGGUAGGACAGCUGACUCUGGAUCAGUCAACCGUGGUUCGAAUCCACGUCCCGGAGCUA